rnacentral:rRNA from 1 species
CCUACGGGAGGCAGCAGUGGGGAAUUUUCCGCAAUGGGCGAAAGCCUGACGGAGCAAUACCGCGUGAGGGAUGACGGCCUAUGGGUUGUAAACCUCUUUUUUCAGGGAGGAAUCAAUGACGUGUACCUGAAGAAUAAGCAUCGGCUAACUCCGUGCCAGCAGCCGCGGUAA